rnacentral:rRNA from 1 species
CAGGUAGGGAUACCCGCUGAACUUAAGCAUAUCAAUAAGCGGAGGAAAAGAAACCAACAGGGAUUGCCUUAGUAACUGCGAGUGAAGCGGCAAAAGCUCAAAUUUGAAAUCUGACGUUUUUGACGUCCGAGUUGUAAUUUGGAGGGAUAUCUUCGGAGCUGGCGCUGUCCUAAGUUCUUUGGAACCAGACAUCAUAGAGGGUGAGAAUCCCGUGCCUGGAUAGCUGUCCUGCUCCAU